UAGUUUUUUUGUUCUAUUUAAAGGGGCACUAGCUGUCAAAUUCAUGGUCACCGAAUUGACUCAAAUUCUCAUAUUUGAUUUAUAACAAUGUAAAACAUUUAUCCAAACUAUCAAAAGUCUAAAAUAAACAGUUUACAGAGCAUGGGGUAGAUAAUAUAUAAGUUCGUUUCGUGUGUAUUUUAGUCCAGACGCCAUCUAAUUACCUAUCGAUUUGACCUCAGAUGACCAUAUAAGCGAUGUAAACAUAUAGGUCUGUUUGAUUUUAUUUUAUAGAUUAAAAAUAGAUGUUUCUCAUUGUUUUUUAACCGUAUAAGAAUGAUUUUAUGUGCAUCGAAUUAGUAAUGAAAUGAUUUACCGUAGUUUCACUUUUAUUGUUGACAUUCGUUUUCUUUAAAUAACCAGUACACGUACAAUGCAUGCGUUGUCAAUCUCUAGUUAGGGGUUAAAUUGAAGAUCACAUGAAUACGGAUUUA
rnacentral:lncRNA from 1 species